AGCAGCCGCGGUAAUUCCAGCUCCAAUAGCGUAUAUUAAAGUUGUUGCAGUUAAAAGCUCGUAGUUGAAUUUCGGGGUUAGUAGGUUGGUCAUGCCUCUGGUAUGUACUGGUCUCACUGAUUCCUCCUUCCUGAUGAGCCGUAAUGCCAUUAAUUUGGUGUUUUGGGGAAUUUGGACUGUUACUUUGAAAAAAUUAGAGUGUUUAAAGCAAGCUAACGCUUGAAUACAUUAGCAUGGAAUAAUGAAAUAGGACGUUCGAUCCUAUUUUGUUGGUUUCUAGGAUUGACGUAAUGAUUAAUAGGGAUAGUUGGGGGCAUUAGUAUUCAAUUGUCAGAGGUGAAAUUCUUGGAUUUAUUGAAGACUAACUACUGCGAAAGCAUUUGCCAAGGAUGUUUUCAUUAAUCAAGAACGAAAGUUAGGGGAUCGAAGACGAUCAGAUACCGUCGUAGUCUUAACCAUAAACUAUGCCGACUAGGGAUCGGAUGAUGUUAAUUUUUUUAAUGACUCAUUCGGCGCCUUA
rnacentral:rRNA from 1 species